GGAUGUAGCUCAGUGGUAGAGCACAUGCUUAGCAAGCAUGAGGCCCUGGGUUCAAUCCCCAGUCCCUCCA
rnacentral:tRNA from 1 species